UGCCCCUCUGGCUGGGCAGAGAGAUACCUUGGUGGUGGUGGUUGUGUUCUUAUAUGAGUCAGGGGCAGAGCAGACGACAGUCCUUGUCCAUCUUAGUUUGAUGCCUGACUUGGUGACCAAAGCUAUCUUAUGCCUAGAACACAUAA